rnacentral:lncRNA from 1 species
UGCUGAGGUUGGCAGAGUCCUCUGAGUUCCUCUAACUUAAUCCCUGCCCAAGCAGGGACACCCAGAGCAGGGUGCCCAGGACAAAGUUCAGGCAGUUUUUGAAGUUCUUCAAGAAGGAGAUUCCACAGCCUCUCUGGGUAAUCUGUGCCAGUGCUCUAUCACCUGCAUAGACAGGGCCGGAUGUGGAGAAGGAAUCUUACAGUUCAUAAACAAGAUCAUAAAAGAACAACUUGCUUUGUUACCACUUCUACUGAGGCUGUGAAACACGAGUUACUGAAAAUACUACACUGCAGCUUGUGUCCAUGAGGCUCAGGAGAAUGAGAUGCUGUGCUGCAAACAACUCAGAAGCAGGAAAGGAGAAGAAGGAGGGGAGAAAAUGAGCUGCCUCAGUAAUAUACCUCCUCUGACAAAGCUGAAAGUGCCUGGCUAUUUCUCAGCAAAUGAAAAAAAGUCUAAAGGAAUGAGGUCAUAAGAAUGGCUGAAUCAAAUGACCAUGAGACAGCUGUGUCCAAAUUUCUAUGUGGUAUUUAUAUAGUGAAUACAAAUGAGAAAUCUGAUUUGAAGGUGUGGAGAGCUCUGCUCCACUUAUGCAUGAAAGUCUCUUAUGAAAGUGUAUGCAAAAUUCAGAUGUGUGCCACUGGUUUUGGAGCUACAGAACAUGCAAUUUCCACCCCCGUGAUAAAUAUUCAUACCACUUAAUUGCACACAGAUAAUGACAUCUCCAAGUAUUGCUGCAGCAUCAUGUCUGCUUUCCUUUCUUAGUUGUUUCCUCAGAGGAUCAGUUCUGCUCUGCUUAGGACCAAAACCUGAGAGCAUUCCCACGGGGUUGUGCUGACAACACAGACAGUGGGGUAGUCACAAGUCUCUGGAAUAAGCUUUUCAUUAAGGUUCUUUAUCCUACAAAACAACCAAAAAGCAGUUGAGGUAGUACAGAGUUCACAGAGGCUAGUUUAUCAGGCUCCUAAGCAGACUAGCCAUGCAUCUAUAGCCUGUUUGUAUGACUCUCUCCACAAGUGCAGACAUAGCUUGCAAGGUCACAGAGAAUUCAGAAGUACAGGAACAGCAAAAGAGUAUGAAAAUUACAAAUAUAUUGUCAUGCUUAACAGGUUACAGUUGCUUUCAAACAGAAGGUAUCUCAAAGUUACCCACACCUUUUGCAAAUAAGCUCUUAAGGUGAAGUUUCAUUCAUUUCCAGUGAGGCUAGGGAGAGUAGACCAGUGUAACACUAGUGUGUGCAGGAGGGUCUUUCUAGGGCCUCACAGAUUUUAUCUAUAUUGGCAAGUAAUUCUGUGCAAUAGGAAGAGAUCAAUAAAUCAAAGCUUCCCCUUGUUCCUAGUUUAAUACAUUGCAAACCAAAUCCAAGUACAAGAAAGGAGCAACCAGGAGAUCUGUGCAGCAAUACAUUGCUGUUCCAAGCCAAGCUGUUGAUAUCAGCAUGGCCACACUUACUCUUACAGAGGACCUUAGAAAAUUAGAUCUUCAAAGUUUUACCUUAAAGGAGAUGAUAUGGAAAAGUCAUUCUUACCACUGACAAACCUAAACAUAAAACUCUGCUUUUCCACACAUCUUUCCCUUGCAGGUUUCAGUUCUGUCAGAGCACACAGCAUGUCAGACAAUUUUUGUUGUUGUUGUUGUUAAUCAUAUAAUACAGUCAGCUUUGUGGCAGGUAAAUGAAAUUUAGGCAUCUUUCUAUCUCCCUGUCAGUAUUUGGCCAUAAGAUUCUGCAUUAAAUUGUUCUUUGCUCCAAAGCUCGCCCAGAGCAACAGCACUCCAAGACUUCACUCAGCUCUUUGUUUUACAGCAGUUACAAUCAAACUGUUGUUCUUCGUGCUUUAAUGGAGAUCCUAGAAAAGGAGAUUUGAAAAAGAGGGUUAAGAACAGGUUUAUAAAACUUAAGUAUGUACCUAAUCUGUCUGGGAAAAUUCAUAAUUCACUUUGCACAUUUUUGAAGCUGUCUCCAGCCUUAAUAUCACAACAUCAUGCAAAGUCUGGAAGUAUGUGAUUAAUAGAUUUACCUAAUUAAAAACAAGCAAACAAAACAACAAACAAAAGUAAGUUUAUGUCUAAAACUGUCUGUUGGUGUGCCAAAUAUAUGCACAAAUAUAUACUGUAUUUUGUGUGUAUUUGUACAUUUAUAUGAAAACACACAUACAUAUAUAGAACUAUGUGUACAAUAAUUAAUAAAGCAAUGUUUCUUA